rnacentral:rRNA from 1 species
AACGAACGCUGGCGGCAGGCUUAACACAUGCAAGUCGAACGCAUCCUUCGGGGUGAGUGGCAGACGGGUGAGUAACGCGUGGGAACGUGCCCUUCAGUUCGGGAUAACCCAGGGAAACUUGGGCUAAUACCGGAUACGUGCGAGAGCAGAAAGAUUUAUCGCUGAAGGAUCGGCCCGCGUCUGAUUAGCUAGUUGGUGGGGUAAUGGCCCACCAAGGCGACGAUCAGUAGCUGGUCUGAGAGGAUGAUCAGCCACAUUGGGACUGAGACACGGCCCAAACUCCUACGGGAGGCAGCAGUGGGGAAUAUUGGACAAUGGGCGCAAGCCUGAUCCAGCCAUGCCGCGUGAGUGAUGAAGGCCUUAGGGUUGAAAAGCUCUUUCGUCCGGGACGAUAAUGACGGACCGGAAGAAGAAGCCCCGGCUAACUUCGUGCCAGCAGCCGGCGGUAA